rnacentral:rRNA from 1 species
GACGAACGCUGGCGGCGUGCUUAACACAUGCAAGUCGAACGGAAAGGCCCUGCUUUUGUGGGGUGCUCGAGUGGCGAACGGGUGAGUAACACGUGAGUAACCUGCCCUUGACUUUGGGAUAACUUCAGGAAACUGGGGCUAAUACCGGAUAGGAGCUCCUGCUGCAUGGUGGGGGUUGGAAAGUUUCGGCGGUUGGGGAUGGACUCGCGGCUUAUCAGCUUGUUGGUGGGGUAGUGGCUUACCAAGGCUUUGACGGGUAGCCGGCCUGAGAGGGUGACCGGCCACAUUGGGACUGAGAUACGGCCCAGACUCCUACGGGAGGCAGCAGUGGGGAAUAUUGCACAAUGGGCGGAAGCCUGAUGCAGCAACGCCGCGUGCGGGAUGACGGCCUUCGGGUUGUAAACCACUUUCGCCUGUGACGAAGCGUGAGUGACGGUAAUGGGUAAAGAAGCACCGGCUAACUACGUGCCAGCAGCCGCGGUGAUACGUAGGGUGCGAGCGUUGUCCGGAUUUAUUGGGCGUAAAGGGCUCGUAGGUGGUUGAUCGCGUCGGAAGUGUAAUCUUGGGGCUUAACCCUGAGCGUGCUUUCGAUACGGGUUGACUUGAGGAAGGUAGGGGGAGAAAUGAAUUUCCUGGGGGAGCGGUGGAAUGCGCAGAUAUCAGGAGGAACACCAGUGGCGAAGGCGGUUCUCUGGGCCUUUCCUGACGCUGAGGAGCGAAAGCGUGGGGAGCGAACAGGCUUAGAUACCCUGGUAGUCCACGCUGUAAACGGUGGGUACUAGGUGUGGGGUCCAUUCCACGGGUUCCGUGCCGUAGCUAACGCUUUAAGUACCCCGCCUGGGGAGUACGGCCGCAAGGCUAAAACUCAAAGGAAUUGACGGGGCCCCGCACAAGCGGCGGAGCAUGCGGAUUAAUUCGAUGCAACGCGUAGAACCUUACCUGGGUUUGACAUGGAUCGGGAGCGCUCAGAGAUGGGUGUGCCUCUUUUGGGGUCGGUUCACAGGUGGUGCAUGGCUGUCGUCAGCUCGUGUCGUGAGAUGUUGGGUUAAGUCCCGCAACGAGCGCAACCCUUGUUCACUGUUGCCAGCACGUUAUGGUGGGGACUCAGUGGAGACCGCCGGGGUCAACUCGGAGGAAGGUGGGGAUGACGUCAAGUCAUCAUGCCCCUUAUGUCCAGGGCUUCACGCAUGCUACAAUGGCUGGCACAGAGAGUGGCGAGCCUGUGAGGGUGAGCGAAUCUCGGAAAGCCGGUCUCAGUUCGGAUUGGGGUCUGCAACUCGACCUCAUGAAGUCGGAGUCGCUAGUAAUCGCAGAUCAGCAACGCUGCGGUGAAUACGUUCCCGGG